AUCUACCGUUACUUAUCCUUGACAAUCACACCAGCCAGAAUGGCUCUCACCAAGCGUGUAUUACGAGAAAUCGUCGAAAUGUAUUUUUGUGGAUAUUGAGUGGUUGUUGGCUAGCUAAGAAGCUGGUUUGGUUACUGAAAACAGGCGUGUUUUCGCAAUUGAAAUUGCGGUUGUCUCUGGCUAGUUCGCCACUAGCAAGUAUCUAACGUUAGCGUCCAUAUUUUCUGCUUGAUUAUCCUAAUGUUAGCUGUCUGUCAGUCGUGGAGUAGGCCUGCACUCCCGGAGCUCAAUAGCCCUGCCUUAAUCCUGUGCAAGGAAAUAACAGGCAAAGCCUUUGAUUUGCAGUUUGUUUCAAAACAUGUCAAAUUAUUUGUUUAAUCAAACACAGCUAACUAGCUAGCCAAUAUUUGUACACAGCUGGCAUCACGGCUCAGCCAAGAAUCCAGCAUUUGUCAGAUGAGCUAACGUUAAAUGCUAGCUAUUUUAGCUGGCAAUGGGAUUUUGAAAAUCAAUUCGACAAAAUGUUUAUUGCAAAUAUAAGUAUUGUUGUGGGUAUUGGUCAUGUUUCAAUUUUGGUUGUCGGUGCUCGCGUGCACCUUGGACAAAUUUCGUAAAAUGCGAGGAUUUUGUCAGCUGCUGAUGUCAUUUGAGGAUUAUGCGGUAACGUUUGCUUGGCAAAGAGCUAGCUAGCUAUCUAACGUUAGCUUACCUAAUGCCGAUGAGCUAGUCGGUUGUUGUUGCUAGCUUGGCGCAACAUCUUUUGGGUUUGCCUUAAAUGUUGCAUCCAGCUCAUUACGCCCUAAAAGUAUCGAGGCUGGCUCUACAUUCUGCAUUAUCAGAUCUUUGUCGUCCCCCCUCCAUUGUGUAGCUAAUGACCAUCUGCUGCUGUGUGGUGUGGCCUCUGCCUGUACUCUGCAUUUAGCUGUAUUGUGAACCCCUUCUUCAUUUCCUCUUUCCAUCCGAAGACGACAUUGGUAUUUUAAACACCCAAGAAUGUUACUCCCUUGUGUGAAGCAGACUAAAAUUAGCUAACACCUUUAGAAACGAAUUGUCUCUCUACAUGUCAAGUUGCAAUAGUUAACCCAUUGUAGCAUUAGUUAAUAUAAUAAAUUUCAUGUACCUCCCAUCUAGUCUUGGUAGACAACAUGUGUAAAUUCCUGUAAAGUGGAUACAUUUUGCGUUCAUUUGGCUCGUUACCCUUUGCCUUUCAUGCUCUUAGAUUCGUUAUUAGUAAUAACGUUAGGCCUAAAUUCGUAAAUGAAAGGCAUAUUGGACAAAUGAAGGUGCACAGCCAAAGCUUGUGUCCUUAUUAACCUUUUCUUCUGAUAUAGGAAAAUGCUAUUGUAAUUAUGAUGGCAAUUUUGCCAUUUCAAGAGGCAUGUCUUAUCCAUACUGGGAAAACAAUACAUUUGCAAAUUUCAGUAUAUUUUCCUGGACAUGUCAAAAAUUACUGAAAAUAUUAUAUUUCAUGAAAGGGCAUACUACUGAGGCCUGUAGAAACAAACAAAACAAAACAAAAUGCUAUCCAUUUCACAGGGAUGUUUAUUUUCCUGCACUGCAACAGAAAUCCUCUAUUAGAUUCAAAUUGUCUAUUGUUUGGUUGUGGUCUCUCUACCUUUUGUUCUGGUAAUAGACUUCAAUGCAUGGUCACGUUAUAUUCAUAUUUUGUUUUACAUUGAAUAGUAUAUUCCAAUGUAAUCUUUCUGUAGCAAAGAUGUACCCUGCUGUACUGUAACGUGCUGUAGCCAACACAUUUGCUCAUUGGAUGCAGCUUUUGUUCUGUUAACCCUAUACAGAGCAUGACGGGCCUUGCCUCCAGUCAGUGUUGUUUUUUGGUUUAUUAUUUUGUUGCAUGGUAUUUAUAUUUAUGACACAGUUCCACAUACUAAUAUUUUUCAAUAAAGAAUAUAGUAUUUUUCCUAA